rnacentral:rRNA from 1 species
CCUACGGGGGGCUGCAGUGGGGAAUAUUGGACAAUGGGGGGAACCCUGAUCCAGCCAUGCCGCGUGUGUGAAGAAGGCCCUCGGGUUGUAAAGCACUUUCAGUGAGGAAGAACGCCUGGUGGUUAAUACCCAUCAGGAAGACAUCACUCACAGAAGAAGCACCGGCUAACUCCGUGCCAGCAGCCGCGGUAAUACGGAGGGUGCGAGCGUUAAUCGGAAUUACUGGGCGUAAAGCGCGCGUAGGAGGCUUGAUAAGCCGGUUGUGAAAGCCCCGGGCUCAACCUGGGAACGGCAUCCGGAACUGUCAAGCUAGAGUGCAGGAGAGGAAGGUAGAAUUCCCGGUGUAGCGGUGAAAUGCGUAGAGAUCGGGAGGAAUACCAGUGGCGAAGGCGGCCUUCUGGACUGACACUGACACUGAGGUGCGAAAGCGUGGGUAGCAAACAGGAUUAGAUACCCCAGUAGUC